UACAGAGGGCUCAAGCGUUGUUCGGAUUCAUUGGGCGUAAAGGGUGCGUAGGCGGCGCGGUAAGUCGGGCGUGAAAUCUCGGAGCUUAACUCCGAAACUGCAUUCGAUACUGCAGUGCUUGAGGACUGGAGAGGAGACUGGAAUUUACGGUGUAGCGGUGAAAUGCGUAGAUAUCGUAAGGAAGCCCAGUGGCGAAGGCGGGUCUCUGGACAGUUCCUGACGCUGAGGCACGAAGGCCAGGGGAGCAAACGGG
rnacentral:rRNA from 1 species